UUUCAUUGUAGGAAGUAACUGUGGAUGUGGUAGAAACAGCAAGAGAACUUGAAUUAGAAGUGAACCCUGAAAAUGUGACUAGAUUGCUGCUAUCUCAUGAUCAAAUUUAAAUGGAUGAGGAGUUGCUUCAUAGGGAUGAACAAAGAAAGUGGUUUCUUGAGAUGAGAUCUACUCCUGGUGAAGAUGCUGCGAACAACGUUGAAAUGACAACAAAGGACUUAAACUAUGACAGAAACUUAGUUGAUAAAGCAGUGGUAGGGUUUGAAAGGACUGACUCCAAUUUUGAAAGAAGUUGUACUGUGGGUAAACAGCAUUGCAUGAUACAGAGAAAUUGUUCAUGGAAAGAAGAGUACAUGGAUGCAGCAAACUUCAUUGUUGUCUUAUUUUAAGAAAUUGCCACAGCCACUCCAUCCUUCAGCAACCACCACCCUGGUCUAUUAGAAACCAUCAAUAUCAAGGCAAGAUUCUCCACCAACAAAAAGCUUAUGACUCACUGAUGGCUCAGAUGAUCAUUAGCAUUUUUCAGCAAUAAAGUAUUUCUACAUUAAGGCUGGAGUGCAAUGGUAUGAUCUCUGCUCACUGCAAACUCUGUCUCCUGGGUUCAAGUGAUUCUCAUGCCUCAGCCUCCUGAACAGCUGGGAUUACAGGUGUGUGCCACCACACCUGGCUAAUUUCUGUAUUUUUAGAAGAGAUGGGGUCUCACCAUGUCAGCCAGGCUGGUCACAAACUCCUAGCCUCAAGUGAUCCACUCCACUUGGCCUCCCAGAGUGCUGGGAUUACAGGGCAUGAGCCACUGUGCCCAGUCCUAAGUUUAUUCUUGAACAAUGUACGUGAUUAAAUUAUCAAUUUCAAAUUCUUCCCUG
rnacentral:lncRNA from 1 species